rnacentral:lncRNA from 1 species
CUCCAAGUCAGUUAUGCUCUUUUCUCAUUCUUGUUGUUGUUUUCACAAAGAUACAAAGAAAAGAACGAAAGAUGGUGAUUGAGCAGGCACUGUGUUGAAGCCCCAGCCACCGAGACCUGAGAGGUCCUAUUUUACUCUGGGUCAUGGGCAGAGAGGAGAAACAGCUGGAAAGAUAAAGCCAGAACUAGGAAAAUGGCCAUAGAAGACCACGGUGAAACUCAUCAAAUAGAACACUUAAAAUAUGUGUAUUUCAUGUUAUGCUAAUUAUUCUGGAUUAACCUGAAUUUUAAAAAUUAAAUUUGAAAAAGGAAACAAA